UAGUCAUAUGCUUGUCUCAGAGAUUAAGCCAUGCAUGUCUAAGUAUAAGCGAUCUUAUACAGCGAAACUGCGAAUGGCUCAUUAAAUCAGUUAUAGUCUACUUGAUCGUAUCUUCUUACAUGGAUAACCGUAGUAAAUCUAGAGCUAAUACAUGCUAAAAAUCCUGGACGCGGCAACGCGGAAGGGACGAGUUUAUUAGAUUAAAAACCGACACCUCUCCGCGAGGGGAGGUAGCACAGGUGAUUCACAGUAACCGAUCGGAUCGUCGGCCCCGCCGACGACGAUGCAUACGAGUUUCUGCCCUAUCAACUUUAGAUGGUAGAGUAUCGGUCUACCAUGGUCGUAACGGGUGACGGGGGACUAGGGUUCGAUUCCGGAGAGGGAGCCUGAGAAACGGCUACCACUUCCAAGGAAGGCAGCAGGCGCGCAAAUUACCCAAUCCCGACACGGGGAGGUAGUGACAAGAAAUACCAUUGUAAUGUCUCCUCGAGAGGCUUACGAUUGGAAUGAGUACAAUUUAAAUCCCUUAACGAGUAACGAUU
rnacentral:rRNA from 1 species